CCCUUAGAUGUUCUGGGCCGCACGCGCGCUACACUGAUGCAUUCAACGAGUCCAACCUUGACCGAGAGGUCCGGGUAAUCUUUGAAACUGCAUCGUGAUGGGGCUAGAUUAUUGCAAUUAUUAAUCUUCAACGAGGAAUGCCUAGUAAGCGUGAUUCAUCAAAUCGCGUUGAUUACGUCCCUGCCCUUUGUACACACCGCCCGUCGCUCCUACCGAUUGAGUGUGUUGGUGAGGAGUUUGGAUUGGCUUCGGAAGGUGGUUCGCCACCGUCCGUAGCUGAGAAGUUCUCCAAACCGCCCCACUUAGAGGAAGGAGAAGUCGUANCA
rnacentral:rRNA from 1 species